rnacentral:lncRNA from 1 species
CUGCUACAGGUGAAUUUAAUCUCCAAUCCUCCAGGUGAAUUUAAUCCCAAAUCAAAUCCCUGCUCCCUGCAACCACCUGCAGAGAAUUGAACCAGUUUAAAAGUCUUGUAGUAUGUUUAAUUUUUGUUUUUGGGGUGGUGUGUUAUUGUGUGUAGGUGCUGUGAUUAGUACUUGGAGUUUAAUUUCUUGUGGUGGAGCAGUCUGAGCAACAAUCCUCUCUGGUUCAGCAAACGGAGGAAGCUUCUUGCAAGAGUUACUACAAAAACUUAAAAGAAAAGAGGAGAGCUUUUUGUAGACUAUGAACCUUGCUAUCCAUUUUUUUUCCAAGGCAGAGUCUUCAAGUGAAACAAACUCAAGCCAAAACCAGCAUUCAGAGAAUGGAUGUUUGCUCUGUACUUCAGGAACAGAAAUAAUGAACAGAAAAACAAAACAAAGCAAAUGUAAAUGGUCCUGGCUGGAAUUGUCAGGAGAACCAGGCACUCAACAGCUUUGCAUUCAAUGUGCCAAAAGCUUCUGAGAAUCUGGCUACUGAUUCUGGAAAACUGAAACCUGCCCAUGAGAUCUGGGAGUCCUGUUAUUGGAUACCUUACUGGCAUGGUCAUUUAAUGCCAGUCUUCAUUGUGGUUUCACUGGUGUGAGCAUAUUCUCACUAACAGCAAAACUGAGAGGUGUGUUUAAUUAAAGCUACAGUGCAGCCAAAAUAGCCUCAUGAGUGUGGUUGUGUUACGGCAGAGAUGGCUGAAAACUGGAUCUCAAUAGCUCUUAUCAGAAGACUAUCAAUUUCAGUUUCCUUAUCAUGAUCCAGCUUCAACUGCAGGGCAAAAAGCUGCUGCACUUUCAUAGAAAGUGUGCACUGGAUGCCUUGUCACAGACAAUAUCAAUUCCAGCACACACUUCCCCUACCCCCAAGUGAUUUCUAG